CCUACGGGAGGCAGCAGUAGGGAAUCUUCCACAAUGGACGAAAGUCUGAUGGAGCAACGCCGCGUGAACGAUGAAGGCCUUCGGGUCGUAAAGUUCUGUUGUAAGGGAAGAACAAGUGCCGCAGGCAAUGGCGGCACCUUGACGGUACCUUGCGAGAAAGCCACGGCUAACUACGUGCCAGCAGCCGCGGUAAUACGUAGGUGGCAAGCGUUGUCCGGAAUUAUUGGGCGUAAAGCGCGCGCAGGCGGCCUCUUAAGUCUGAUGUGAAAGCCCCCGGCUCAACCGGGGAGGGCCAUUGGAAACUGGGAGGCUUGAGUAUAGGAGAGAAGAGUGGAAUUCCACGUGUAGCGGUGAAAUGCGUAGAGAUGUGGAGGAACACCAGUGGCGAAGGCGACUCUUUGGCCUAUAACUGACGCUGAGGCGCGAAAGCGUGGGGAGCAAACAGGAUUAGAUACCCUGGUAGUCCACGCCGUAAACGAUGAGUGCUAGGUGUUGGAGGGUUUCCGCCCCUUCAGUGCUGAAGCUAACGCAUUAAGCACUCCGCCUGGGGGAGUACGGUCGCAAGGCUGAAACUCAAAUGAAUUGACGGGG
rnacentral:rRNA from 1 species